AAAAAAGAAAGGAGCCCAGAGCUACCAAGGCAAAAUUAGGUUCCGACCUCCUGAAGAGGUUCGGGGCACAAUAGCCAAGAAGCGCCAACCUCGAAACAGACGCUAACGCUAAAAGAUUGGCUAUCGGGCAAAAUGCCGAGCUCUCAGCUCGGAUAGACCUAUUUUAAGCUCAAGGUCGAGCUCCCAGCUCGGAUAGACUUGCAUCCUCAAAAGCCCAAGGUAUGAAGGCCAAAACAAAAGGCCGGGCUCCCU
rnacentral:lncRNA from 1 species